rnacentral:misc_RNA from 1 species
GAUGAAGAACGUAGUGAAAUGCGAUAAGUAGUGUGAAUUGCAGAAUUCAGUGAAUCAUCGAAUCUUUGAACGCACAUUGCGCCCGCCAGUAUUCUGGCGGGCAUGCCUGUCUGAGCGUCAUUUCAACCCUCAUGCCCCUAGGGCGUGGUGUUGGGGAUCGGCCAAAGCCCGCGAGGGACGGCCGGCCCCUAAAUCUAGUGGCGGACCCGUCGUGGCCUCCUCUGCGAAGUAGUGAUAUUCCGCAUCGGAGAGCGAUGAGCCCCUGCCGUUAAACCCCCAACUUUCCAAGGUUGACCUCAGAUCAGGUAGGAAUACCCGCUGAACUUAAGCAUAUCAAUAAGCGGAGGA